ensembl:lncRNA
AACAAAUUGACUAAAGAGGUUUGACAACUUGCUAUUAAGCUUUGGAUAUUUCAGCUGCGUUCAUGCAUGCAAUCCAAUAAUUAGGUGUGUUCCUCUGCCUGGAAAGGUUACUUAGGUAUCAGCUAACCUCAUCAAACGUGUUCCUUUGCACAGGCUUUUCACAUAUCUUACAAUGCCUGGGCAAUUCUUUUACAUACCAACCAACCAAAAGAUGCAUUGAUGCAUUCAGAUGAAUGAAACUAGGCUGUACUGACCAACAAGUUGAUGGAAAGGGUUGGGAUGUGGGUUGGAAAACUCAUGGCCUCUUUAAACACACCACUCAUUACUUCAGGCCACACCCUGCCACACUGACCAAACAGCAUUAAGUGUCCAUCAAAGUGUGUUCUAGAAUGUUCUGUGAAAAAACGUGCAGUAAAAAUAGUUAUAGAACGUACAGUAUGUAUCAAUGGGUCCCUCUGCUGUGCUGGGGUGACUAAUCACACUACAUAAGUUAUUUCUCAUUUUUCAUCUCCACAUUGUGUUGACCAGUUUAACAUCUGACAGUUUAACAUCUGUUUAUGUAUAGUGGGGUCCUUUAUUUUGUAAAAAAAAAAAAGUAUGUGGAACACACUGUAUAUCAGAAUUGGGAUUGCUGUUUAAAUACAGCCUUUCUCAAAUGUAAAAAGUUUCAUGUAGAGUAUUUAAAAAUAUCAACAUGGUAAUAAGGCUGUGUUUAAAUAGCCCAAUUCUGAUAUAAACUAUGUUCCACUUAUUGAUCUUUUGACAAAUCACAUCAGGACUUGUUCAGUAAAUGUGUCUGGAACAUUCAAUUGAAUUUUAAUGAAAAAUGGGGAAAGGAUAGUUUGUGGGAAUGCUGUAAACAUGAUUACUGCCCUUUAAAUACGUCACUAACUGUCAGAUCUGUCAGGCAUCAGCAACAUAUAAGCAGAGGAAAGUAACUAGAGGUAGACUGGAUGUGUAAAAUGUUAUUUACAUGUUCAUAAUCUGAGUAAAAUCACCAUACCAUGAAAUUCCAAGUUUGAUAGCACAUGGUUUUGAUGACAUGAAGCAGAUAUCGGCACAUAAUUAACAGUACGCUCAGUUUGGGGUACUUGUUUUGGCUUGACAACACCUGUUUCAUUACCAGUGGCCAAACAUGUAAGAAUGCAUGUUUAAACUUUCUGUUUAAUUGAAUGUUCCACUAGGUUUUUUGGCCUAUACCAAGGCAAGAUCUAAUGAUUGGGCGUCUGAUUAUUCAAAAGACAAGUGAAAAAAAAUCAUAAUUCAAUGGAGCCUUACAGCUAGCUUAUGUUACGUAGCUGACUUAUAGUUGGAGGGGGAAAACCUCAUUCAUUUCAGUAUAACUGUUGAAUCUGCUAUUAAUAAAGUGAUUUGC